rnacentral:pre_miRNA from 1 species
UUGUUUUCUGUUGGAGCAUCAUCAAGAUUCACAAAAAGCAUUUUAAGGUUUUUUUAAUUGAAUUGAUCAAUCAGCGCUUUAUGAAUAUGUUUUUGAGAAUCUUGAUGAUGCUGCAGUGGCAAUAAA